GACGAACGCUGGCGGCGCGCUUAACACAUGCAAGUCGAACGGAAAGGCCUGCUUUCCCUUGUGGAUUGCGGGUACUCGAGUGGCGAACGGGUGAGUAACACGUGAGUGAUCUGCCCCCAACUUGGGUAUAAGCCUGGGAAACUGGGUCUAAUUCCCGAUAGGACUGCAGGGUGGUGCCUGUGGUGGAAAACGAUUUUCUAGUGGUUGGGGAUGAGCUCGCGGCCUAUCGGCUUGUUGGUGGGGUAAUGGCCUACCAAGGCGGCGACGGGUAGCCGGCCUGGGAGGGUGGACGGCCGCAUUGGGACUGAGAUACGGCCCAGACUCCUACGGGCGGCAGCAGUGGGGACUAUUGCACAAUGGGCGGAAGCCUGAUGCAGCGACGCCGCGUGGGGGAUGACGGCCUUCGGGUUGUAAACUCCUUUCGACCGCGAGGAAGCCACCUGGUUGGAAGGGUGGUGACGGUAGUGGUAGAAGAAGCACCGGCUAACUACGUG
rnacentral:rRNA from 1 species